AUGGAGAGACUGCGGAGGGACCAGGAUCGGCUGUCGGCACAGGAAACACACCAUCUGGAUGGGGAACUGAGGGUGCAGGAACUGUGGGAGCAAUUAAUGCAGAGACAAGCAGAGCUGGAUGCUGUGCUUUCGUCUCUCCUCUGUGCUCGUCAGGUCUGCCAGCUGCGUGCUGACACUGCACAGUCUACUGAAUGGAUUCGUUUCCUCUAGUCUUUGGUUUCUGGCACAUUCUGGUAUAAGGAUUUUGGUGUGCUGCAGCCCAAGGGUGUCAGAAACCCUCUGAAAGUAAUAGCCAUGACUCAGCAGAAAAUCCUUCCUCGACUUGAACGACUUAUUCAGCUGUUGGAGGAAACCAAAGCACUUGGCCAGUCGACCAGCACGCAGCGGCAGAAGAGCUCUGGUACAAUAUCUUCAUUUAUGUCUUAUUAUAGAAACGUUAGUCAUGCUUUUGUCGAAAUGUUCAUGAAAAUGGU
rnacentral:lncRNA from 1 species